rnacentral:rRNA from 1 species
CUACGGGGGGCUGCAGUGGGGAAUAUUGGACAAUGGGGGAAACCCUGAUCCAGCAAUGCCGCGUGUGUGAAGAAGGCCUGCGGGUUGUAAAGCACUUUCGGUUGGGAGGACUGCUUCUAGCACUAAUAUUGUUGGAAGUUGACGUUACCUUCAGAAGAAGCACCGGCUAACUCCGUGCCAGCAGCCGCGGUAUACGGGGGGUGCAAGCGUUAAUCGGAAUUACUGGGCGUAAAGCGCGCGUAGGCGGCUAGAUCAGUCGGGUGCGAAAGCCCCGGGCUUAACCUGGGAACUGCAUCCGAUACCGUCUAGCUUGAGUACAGGAGAGGAGAGUGGAAUUCCACAUGUAGCGGUGAAAUGCGUAGAUAUGUGGAGGAACACCAAUGGCGAAGGCAGCUCUCUGGCCUGAUACUGACGCUGAGGUGCGAAAGCGUGGGGAGCAAACAGGAUUAGAUACCCUUGUAGUC